AUUGAACGCUGGCGGCAGGCUUAACACAUGCAAGUCGAGCGGAGAGAAGUAGCUUGCUACUGAUCUUAGCGGCGGACGGGUGAGUAAUGCUUAGGAAUCUGCCUAUUAGUGGGGGACAACAUUUCGAAAGGAAUGCUAAUACCGCAUACGUCCUACGGGAGAAAGCAGGGGAUCUUCGGACCUUGCGCUAAUAGAUGAGCCUAAGUCGGAUUAGCUAGUUGGUGGGGUAAAGGCCUACCAAGGCGACGAUCUGUAGCGGGUCUGAGAGGAUGAUCCGCCACACUGGGACUGAGACACGGCCCAGACUCCUACGGGAGGCAGCAGUGGGGAAUAUUGGACAAUGGGCGAAAGCCUGAUCCAGCCAUGCCGCGUGUGUGAAGAAGGUCUUCGGAUUGUAAAGCACUUUAAGUUGGGAGGAGGGGCAGUAAGUUAAUACCUUGCUGUUUUGACGUUACCAACAGAAUAAGCACCGGCUAACUCUGUGCCAGCCGCCGCCGUAACAC
rnacentral:rRNA from 1 species